rnacentral:miRNA from 14 species
CCCAGGAGCAGGGGACCACCAGGUUGCCUAAGGAGGGGUGAACCGGCCCAGGUCAGAAAGCUGGAGAUGCGACU